rnacentral:rRNA from 1 species
GACUACACGGGUAUCUAAGCCCAUUCGCUACCCACGCUUUCGUCCCUCAGUGUCAGGAAUAGUCCAGCAAGAUGCCUUCGCUUUUGGUAUUCCUUAUAAUAUCAACGCAUUUUACUGCUACACUAUAAGUUCUACUUGCCCCUACUAUCCUCUAGAAUAAACGUUUCAAAUGCAGUUUUAAGGUUAAGCCCUAAAAUUUGACAUCUGACUAUUUAUCCAACCUACAGACGCUUUACGCCCAAUAAAUCCGGAUAACGCUUGAGGUCUCUGUAUUACCGCUGCUGCUGGCACAGAGUUAGCAACCUCUUAUUCGCUAGGUACCAUCAAAGUUUGUCCCUAACAAAAGAGCUUUACACCCCGAAGGGCUUCAUCGCUCACGCGGCGUCGCUCGUUCACACUUGCGUGCAUUGACGAAGAUUCUCGACUGCAGCCCCCCGUAGG